AUUGAACGCUGGCGGCAGGCCUAACACAUGCAAGUCGAGCGAGCGGCGGACGGGUGAGUAAUGUCUGGGAAACUGCCUGCUGGAGGGGGAUAACUACUGGAAACGGUAGCUAAUACCGCAUACCAUCAGAUGUGCCCAGAUGUGAUUAGCUAGUAGGUGGGGUAACGGCUCACCUGGGCGACGAUCCCUAGCUGGUAUGAGAGGAUGACCAGCCACCCUGAAACUGAGACACGUUCCAGACUCCUCCGGGAGGCAGACGUGGGGAAUAGUGCACAAUGGGCGCAAGCCUGAUGCAGCCAUGCCGCGUGUGUGAAGAAGGCCUUCGGGUUGUAAAGCACUUUCAGCGGGGAGGCGUUACCCGCAGAAGAAUCACCGGCUAACUCCGUUCCAGCAGCCGCGGUAAUUC
rnacentral:rRNA from 1 species